AGUGAACGCUGGCGGUAGGCCUAACACAUGCAAGUCGAACGGCAGCACAGUAAGAGCUUGCUCUUACGGGUGGCGAGUGGCGGACGGGUGAGGAAUACAUCGGAAUCUACUUUUUCGUGGGGGAUAACGUAGGGAAACUUACGCUAAUACCGCAUACGACCUACGGGUGAAAGCAGGGGAUCUUCGGACCUUGCGCGAUUGAAUGAGCCGAUGUCGGAUUAGCUAGUUGGCGGGGUAAAGGCCCACCAAGGCGACGAUCCGUAGCUGGUAUGAGAGGAUGAUCAGCCAGACUGGAACUGAGACACGGUCCAGACUCCUACGGGAGGAAGCAGUGGGGAAUAUUGGACAAUGGGCGCAAGCCUGAUCCAGCCAUACCGCGUGGGUGAAGAAGGCCUUCGGGUGGUAAAGCCCUUUUGUUGGGAAAGAAAAGCAGCAGGUUAAUACCCCGCUGUUCUGACGGUACCCAAAGAAUAAGCACCGGCUAACUUCGUG
rnacentral:rRNA from 1 species